rnacentral:rRNA from 1 species
UACGUAGGGGGCAAGCGUUGUCCGGAUUUAUUGGGCGUAAAGAGCGUGUAGGCGGCCAUACAGGUCAGCUGUGAAAACUCGAGGCUCAACCUCGAGACGUCGGUUGAAACCGUAUGGCUAGAGUCCGGAAGAAGAGAGUGGAAUUCCCGGUGUAGCGGUGAAAUGCGCAGAUAUCGGGAAGAACACCUAUGGCGAAGGCAGCUCUCUGGGACGGUACUGACGCUGAGACGCGAAAGCGUGGGGAGCAAACAGG